rnacentral:ncRNA from 2 species
CAUAAAGUGAUGAUGAGGACAAGUAAACUAUAAUACCUAAAAGAGAGGAGUUUCCGUAGGCUGAAAGGAACUUUAAGGUCAGAUUAUAGUUGAAAUGCACCUUUGAACCUAUUACCUGAAAGUUAUAGUAAGGUAAGACGGCUUACGGCGUUAUACGUGAUUAAGCAGGGUUUAUACCAAAUAGAGUGGAACCGCGGACUUGCCGUCUCUUUA